rfam:Tupaia chinensis contig117310, whole genome shotgun sequence.
UGGACCAAUGAUGACAACUGCUGGUGUAUGAGUCUUGGAUGAUGAAUCGCACUUGUCUGGAACGCUGAGGUACAU